GACUCUUAGCAGUGGAUCACUUGACUCGUGCAUGAUGAAGAGUGCAGCUAGCUGUGAGAAUUAUUAAUUGCGAGCACAGCUAGCUGUGUGAAUUGUAGGACACAUUGAUCAUAGACACUUCAAAUGCACCUGCUCCUGGUGCUGGGUUCUUCCCAGUGUUAUGCCUGUCUAAGCGUCG
rnacentral:rRNA from 1 species